rnacentral:rRNA from 1 species
UACGGAGGGUGCAAGCAUUAAUCGGAAUUAUUGGGCGUAAAGGGCGCGUAGGCCGAUUCGAAAGUCAGAUGUGAAAUUCCGAAGCUCAACUUCGGAGCUGCAUUUGAAACUGUGAAUCUAGAGGGAUGGCGGAGAAAAUGGAAUUCCACAAGUAGCGGUGAAAUGCGUAGAUAUGUGGAAGAACACCGGUGGCGAAGGCGGUUUUCUAGCUUUCUCCUGACGCUGAGGCGCGAAAGCAAGGGGAGCAAACAGG